GACGAACGCUGGCGGCGUGCCUAAUACAUGCAAGUCGAACGAGAGCGACCGGUGCUUGCACUGGUCAAUCUAGUGGCGAACGGGUGAGUAACACGUGGGUAACCUGCCCAUCAGAGGGGGAUAACAUCCGGAAACGGAUGCUAAAACCGCAUAGGUCUUCGAGCAGCAUGGCUUGAAGAGGAAAAGAGGCGCACGCUUCUGCUGAUGGAUGGACCCGCGGUGCAUUAGCUAGUUGGUGAGGUAACGGCUCACCAAGGCCGUGAUGCAUAGCCGACCUGAGAGGGUGAUCGGCCACAUUGGGACUGAGACACGGCCCAAACUCCUACGGGAGGCAGCAGUAGGGAAUCUUCCGCAAUGGACGCAAGUCUGACGGAGCAACGCCGCGUGAGUGAAGAAGGUUUUCGGAUCGUAAAACUCUGUUGUUAGAGAAGAACAAGUGCUAGAGUAACUGUUAGCGCCUUGACGGUAUCUAACCAGAAAGCCACGGCUAACUACGUG
rnacentral:rRNA from 1 species